rnacentral:misc_RNA from 1 species
GAUGAAGAACGCAGCGAAACGCGAUAGUUAAUGUGAAUUGCAGAAUUCAGUGAAUCAUCGAAUCUUUGAACGCACAUUGCGCCCCUUGGUAUUCCAUGGGGCAUGCCUGUUCGAGCGUCAUUUGUACCUUCAAGCUCUGCUUGGUGUUGGGUGUUUGUCUCGCCUCUGCGUGUAGACUCGCCUCAAAACAAUUGGCAGCCGGCGUAUUGAUUUCGGAGCGCAGUACAUCUCGCGCUUUGCACUCAUAACGACGACGUCCAAAAGUACAUUUUUACACUCUUGACCUCGGAUCAGGUAGGGAUACCCGCUGAACUUAAGCAUAUCAAUAAGCGGAGGA